rnacentral:rRNA from 1 species
UACGAAGGGGGCUAGCGUUGUUCGGAAUCACUGGGCGUAAAGGGCGCGUAGGCGGCUUUGUAAGUCGGGGGUGAAAGCCUGUGGCUCAACCACAGAAUUGCCUUCGAUACUGCGAGGCUUGAGACCGGAAGAGGUUAGUGGAACUGCGAGUGUAGAGGUGAAAUUCGUAGAUAUUCGCAAGAACACCAGUGGCGAAGGCGGCUGACUGGUCCGGAUCUGACGCUGAG